AGCGAGUCUUAACUGGGCGCUCAGUCUCUGGAUAUAGACCCGAAACCGGGUGAUCUAGCCAUGGGCAGGUUGAAGGUUGAGUAACAUCAACUGGAGGACCGAACCGACUAAUGUUGAAAAAUUAGCGGAUGACUUGUGGCUAGGGGUGAAAGGCCAAUCAAACUCGGAGAUAGCUGGUUCUCCCCGAAAGCUAUUUAGGUAGCGCCUCGGACGAAUACUACUGGGGGUAGAGCACUGUUAAGGCUAGGGGGUCAUCCCGACUUACCAACCCUUUGCAAACUCCGAAUACCAGUAAGUACUAUCCGGGAGACACACGGCGGGUGCUAACGUCCGUCGUGGAGAGGGAAACAACCCAGACCGCCAGCUAAGGUCCCAAAGUAUUGCUAAGUGGGAAACGAUGUGGGAAGGCUCAGACAGCUAGGAUGUUGGCUUAGAAGCAGCCAUCAUUUAAAGAAAGCGUAAUAGCUCACUAGUCGAGUCGGCCUGCGCGGAAGAUGUAACGGGGCUAAGCAAUACACCGAAGCUGCGGCAAUGUCUUUUAGACAUUGGGUAGGGGAGCGUUCUGUAAGCCGUUGAAGGUGAAUCGUAAGGUUUGCUGGAGGUAUCAGAAGUGCGAAUGCUGACAUGAGUAACGACAAAGGGGGUGAAAAACCUCCUCGCCGGAAGACCAAGGGUUCCUGUCCAACGUUAAUCGGGGCAGGGUGAGUCGACCCCUAAGGUGAGGCCGAAAGGCGUAAUCGAUGGGAAACGGGUUAAUAUUCCCGUACUUCUGACUAUUGCGAUGGGGGGACGGAGAAGGCUAGGUGGGCCAGGCGACGGUUGUCCUGGUUCAAGUGCGUAGGCUUGAGAGUUAGGUAAAUCCGGCUCUCUCUAAGGCUGAGACACGACGUCGAGCUACUACGGUAGUGAAGUCAUUGAUGCCAUGCUUCCAGGAAAAGCCUCUAAGCUUCAGAUAGUCAGGAAUCGUACCCCAAACCGACACAGGUGGUCGGGUAGAGAAUACCAAGGCGCUUGAGAGAACUCGGGUGAAGGAACUAGGCAAAAUGGUACCGUAACUUCGGGAGAAGGUACGCUCUUGAUGGUGAAGUCCCUCGCGGAUGGAGCUGACGAGAGUCGCAGAUACCAGGUGGCUGCAACUGUUUAUUAAAAACACAGCACUGUGCAAAAUCGCAAGAUGACGUAUACGGUGUGACGCCUGCCCGGUGCCGGAAGGUUAAUUGAUGGGGUUAGCGCAAGCGAAGCUCUUGAUCGAAGCCCCGGUAAACGGCGGCCGUAACUAUAACGGUCCUAAGGUAGCGAAAUUCCUUGUCGGGUAAGUUCCGACCUGCACGAAUGGCGUAAUGAUGGCCACGCUGUCUCCACCCGAGACUCAGUGAAAUUGAAAUCGCUGUGAAGAUGCAGUGUACCCGCGGCUAGACGGAAAGACCCCGUGAACCUUUACUACAGCUUGGCACUGAACAUUGAACCUACAUGUGUAGGAUAGGUGGGAGGCUAUGAAGACGUGACGCCAGUUGCGUUGGAGCCGUCCUUGAAAUACCACCCUUGUAUGUUUGAUGUUCUAACUUAGACCCAUUAUCUGGGUUGAGGACAGUGCCUGGUGGGUAGUUUGACUGGGGCGGUCUCCUCCCAAAGAGUAACGGAGGAGCACGAAGGUGGGCUAAUCACGGUUGGACAUCGUGAGGUUAGUGCAAUGGCAUAAGCCCGCUUAACUGCGAGAAUGACGGUUCGAGCAGGUGCGAAAGCAGGUCAUAGUGAUCCGGUGGUUCUGUAUGGAAGGGCCAUCGCUCAACGGAUAAAAGGUACUCCGGGGAUAACAGGCUGAUACCGCCCAAGAGUUCAUAUCGACGGCGGUGUUUGGCACCUCGAUGUCGGCUCAUCACAUCCUGGGGCUGAAGUCGGUCCCAAGGGUAUGGCUGUUCGCCAUUUAAAGUGGUACGCGAGCUGGGUUUAGAACGUCGUGAGACAGUUCGGUCCCUAUCUGCCGUGGGCGUUGGAAGAUUGAAGGGGGCUGCUCCUAGUACGAGAGGACCGGAGUGGACGAACCUCUGGUGUUCGGGUUGUGUCGCCAGACGCAUUGCCCGGUAGCUAAGUUCGGAAUUGAUAAGCGCUGAAAGCAUCUAAGCGCGAAGCGAGCCCUGAGAUGAGUCUUCCCUGACAGUUUAACUGUCCUAAAGGGUUGUUCGAGACUAGAACGUUGAUAGGCAGGGUGUGUAAGCGUUGUGAGGCGUUGAGCUAACCUGUACUAAUUGCCCGUGAGGCUUAACCAU
rnacentral:rRNA from 1 species